CCCUUAGAUGUCCUGGGCUGCACGCGCGCUACACUGAUGCGCUCAACGAGUUUACGAUCUUGCUUGAAAUGGCUGGGUAAUCUUUUUAAAAUGCAUCGUGAUGGGGCUAGAUUAUUGCAAUUAUUAAUCUUCAACGAGGAAUGCCUAGUAAGCGUGAUUCAUCAAAUCGCGUUGAUUACGUCCCUGCCCUUUGUACACACCGCCCGUCGCUCCUACCGAUUGAGUGUGUUGGUGAGGAGUUCGGAUUGGCUCUUAGUGGUGGUUCGCCACCACCUAGAGCUGAGAAGUUCUCCAAACCGCCCCACUUAGAGGAAGGAGAAGUCGUAACA
rnacentral:rRNA from 1 species